GGUGAACGCUGGCGGCGUGUCUUAGGCAUGCAAGUCACAUGUUUUUCGUAAACAUGGCAGACGGGUGAGUAACACGUUGGUAAUCUAACUUGAGGUCUGAAAUAACCCUUCGAAAGGAGGGAUAAUGUCAGAUGGUCAUGGGGGGUCGUAAGACAUUCCCAUGUAAAGCUCCGGCGCCUCGAGAAGAGCCUACGUCCUAACAGCUUGUUGGUGAGGUAAAAGCUCACCAAGGCUAUGACGGGUAGCUGGUUUGAGAAGACGACCAGUCACAUCGGAACUGAAACACUGUCCGGACUCCUACGGGAGGCUGCAGUCAAGAAUCUUCCGCAAUGGGGGAAACCCUGACGGAGCGACGCCGCGUGAUCGAUUAAGUCCUUCGGGAUGUAAAGAUCUUUUAUAUUGGAAAAAGCCCCGCUUUUUUGGCGGGG
rnacentral:rRNA from 1 species